ensembl:lncRNA novel transcript
UGACUGCAGCCUCUGAGAAAAGCAACUCUGGGCAAAGCAUAGGUGUCCAGAUGUGCCUGGAGCUCACGCUGGGUGCCCACCGGCUGGCCCUUCGGUUCCUGCUUCGGGGCAGAGAGCGUUGAAAUCACUCUCCCCUCGCCCCAGCCGCUGGCUCCUGGCUGGGAGCCUGGUCAUUAAGGUCCAGAGGAGAAACAGACCUCUGGGGACCUGCCGUUCACCUGGGACCUUCCGCUGCUUGCCCCGGGGUUGACAGCAACCCCAGAUGUCCGCACCAGCCACGCUGGGCCACACUUAGCCCCACUUUUGCCAUUCUACCACGCACAGCCCUCACACACACUCCCCAUCCAAGGUUCCAGGGCUCUGGGCUGAAAAUCACCAGCUGUACUGCAGGGCCUGGGGCUGCCCUCUUGACCAAGCUACCUCUCCCUCAGGAGCAGAGCUGACAGGCUCACCUGUUUUUAAGAAAACAUGUUGCCACCUUAAAAAUUC